GAUGAACGCUGGCGGCGUGCCUAAUACAUGCAAGUCGAGCGAACAGACGCUGAGCUUGCUGCUCUGACGUGAGCGGCGGACGGGUGUGUAACACGUGGAAAACCUACUUAUAUGACUGGGAUAACCUCGGGAAACCGGAGCUAACACCAGAUAAUAUAUUGAACCGCAGGGGUCAAUAGUGAAAGACGGCUUUGCUGUCACUUAUAGCUGGAUCCGCGCCGCAUGGGCUGGUUGUGAAGGUAACGGCUUAUCAAGGGAACCAUGCGUAGCCGACGUGCGGGGGUGAUAGGCGACACUGGAAGGGAGACGCGGACAAUGCGCCUGCGGGAGGCCGCAGUAGCGAAUCUUACGCAGUGGGCGAGAGCUUGACGGAGCAACGGCGCGUGAGUGACGAAAGUCUUCGGAUCGUAAAACUCUGUUAUGGGGGGAGAACAAAUGUGUAAGUAACUAAGCACGUCUUGACGGUACCUGAUCAGAAAGCCACGGCUAACUACGUG
rnacentral:rRNA from 1 species